rnacentral:lncRNA from 1 species
ACUGAAAGUUUGCAUCGACGAUUAGUUUCAACUAAAGGACGGAAUAAGACAUGUACCACACUAUGGCCUUUUAUUAGCAGAAGUGGCAGGAUUGCCAAGCUCGGUUAUUGAAACUGCAAGAGACAUUACUUCCAGGAUCAAGGAGAAGGUAAUUAAGUCUUUGAUAGAAUUGUUAUGUUUUAGUGAAACCAAAAUUUACCAAUUCAUGAACAUAUUUCUCUUGCCCUCUGUCUCCAAGUAGCGAAUUUGACCAAGAAAGAGGAUUGAGGGUCUGUUUAGAUUGCCCAGGGAAUUUUUUCUCUUUCAAAAAGGUCAUUUUUAUUUUAACUUUUUUUAUAAGAACUAUUUAAAAUAAAAUUUGAAAUUAUUUUAAAAACUAUUUUGAUUGGUUGAACACUUUAGUUUUUUUUUCAAAUUAA